AGGAGUGUAGCUCAAUUGGAAGAGUACCAGGUUUCGACCCUGGAUGUUGUAGGUUCGAGUCCUAUCACUCCUGCC
rnacentral:tRNA from 1 species